ACUAUGUUAUAUUUUUACAAUUAAUGGAAAAUGACAAAAUACCCAACUGAGUUUGAGUGAGGUGGGUACAAUUUAUUUGGUUACUCAAAGAAAAAUUAGUAUACCCAAUUGAGAUAAACACAAGCGCGUACAUAACUCAAAGACCCAAAAAGUUAUCUGUAGCUCUGCAAUUGCAAAAUG